UUUUUUUCAAUUUCAACCAAUCACUGACGUCUAUUGAGGUGAAAACAUUCUGUGCCUUAUGAAUAUAUCCCUCGUUUAAGAAACAGAUUGGGUUUAUUUACAUUUCCGAAGAAAAAAAGUUACCCUUCCCAUCACCCCUAACUAUAACCCUACCCUAAAACAGAUUGAAAUGCAAUAGAUCGAUACUAGUGUCAUAACUAUGGGUGACAAUUGCAUAUGACACCACUAGAAAGAACUGCCGGUCAAACGGAAAUGAUCCGACGUAUUCUGGGGAGAAGCCAUAACUACCUUUGGUAAUUACCGGAGAGCGGAAGAGCGUC